rnacentral:rRNA from 1 species
UACGGAGGGUGCAAGCGUUAUCCGGGUUUACUGGGUUUAAAGGGUGCGUAGGUGGGUCUGUAAGUCAGUGGUGAAAUCUCCGAGCUUAACUCGGAAACUGCCAUUGAUACUAUAGAUCUUGAAUUAUCUGGAGGUGAGCGGAAUAUGUCAUGUAGCGGUGAAAUGCUUAGAUAUGACAUAGAACACCAAUUGCGAAGGCAGCUCACUACGGAUUGAUUGACACUGAGGCACGAAAGCGUGGGGAUCAAACAGG